GCACACUGGCAUCCAUCUCAGGGUGAGCAGGUAGUGUUGUCAAAAGGCAGGAAGAAGGGGCUGUUACUGAGCACAGAAGAAAUGCGAAUCCCAUUUAGGGGUGUCAGCAACUGAGAACGGACCCAGGUAGUACCAGGGAUAGGACCCAGGUAGUACCAGGGAUCGCUGGGUCAGGGCAGGCCAGGGAGGCUGGGUAACUCCAAGCUUCCCAGUGGGGGAAGAGAGGAGCUGUGUUUGCACAGCUGUUGUGGGGCUGUUUUGCCCCACAAAAACCUCCACAUCAGGACUGAGGCUGUAGCUCAGUUGGUAGAGCUCUUGCCUAGCAUGCAUGAAGUCCUGGGUUGUAUCCCCAGCACCACGUACACAGGGCACAGUGGCACGUGCCUGUAAUCCCAGCACUCCGGAGGUGCAGGCUGGAAGAUCAGGAAUUUGAAGUCAUCGUGAGUGCCUAUGGCUGUUGGGAUCAUUAUCAUGAAUCAGACACCCUCCUGCAUUCGACCCAAGUCCCAGCAGCCCUCCUGGACUCUCCGAUCACCGAGAACAUCAUCUGUGACGUGGGGAUGUAGUGCCUGCAUGAGCAUGCAGAAGGCGGGGCUCAGAGGAAGGGUGAAUUCAAGGCAUGCUGCCCCCCACACUCCCUCCAGGGCCAGGGAGUCUGCGUGUUGAGAGACGCCAAAGCCUUCGUGUUGAACGCCUGUCAUGCACUGGAAUGUUCGCUACAACUGCAGAGUCAUCUUUCUUAAUUGGUAGGUGACCCUGGAGGGUGGCCAGUCUGCCUGUGCCCGGAGCUGAGGGGGGCCGCGUGCUAGAGGCCUCCCCCAGGAGGUGCCUUUAGUGAGCAUGACACGACACGGCAAUUCCUGUGAUCUUCCUCUGACACACAACCCCCCUCCACACCACAGCCACAGUAGGAGGAGGCCUGAGGGUAGGGUUUGGGGACAUAUCCUUGUCAGCGGGAGGGUGGGCUGGGUUUGGGCUGGAGGAUGAACUAGGCGACUAGGUGAGGGAGGUCUCACUGUCUCCAGUCACCAGUGGCCAGCACGGGCACCUGCCGUGCCUCAGACUCCCUCACAGUCAGCUGUCGGGGUGGAUGGCGCCAAGGGGACCCCUUUUUUGCAAACAGCUGAAGCCCAGAGGAGGAAGCAGGUUUGCUCAGGGCCCUGGUCUUGAUGUGAUUCUGUAGGCUCACCCCAUUCUGUGGUGUGUGGCCUGCACAACAGGAUACUUGUCCCCGGAGCCUGAAGUGAGCUGCCCUGUCCCCUGCCACAGGAGGAUCCUGCUCAUCAGGCCCAAGAUGGCUUUGGCCAACGAAGGCAACUACCGGGAACUGUGAUGGUUCACCCCCUGGUCCAGGAGCCGGGAUUGAACCUGCAGCCUGGCACAGGAUAAGCAUCUGUCCUCCACUGAGCCACACCCCAGUGAAUACGACCACGUGCUAGAACAAGACUCUGCAGAUGCCAUGAUGGACAGCAAGAUGAGACCACCCUGGAUGUCCCGGGUUCAUCUACAUGACCAGAUGGCCUGGAGUGAUGCGGCCACAGGCUAAGGGAUGCUGGGGGUGGAGGUGGGGGUCCCAGAAGGACCAUCGCACAGAGCCUUCAGAUGGAUGGAGUGUAACCUGAAUACACUCACUUUGGACCUUUGGUCUCUCAGGCUGUAAGAGAACAAACCUGUAUUUUUAUAAGCAACAAAUUUGUGACCCUCUGUGGCAGCACCAGGAAAUUGCCAUAAUGCUCUAAGAUGGUUUGGUCUAAGCAGUCAGAUUUCCAACAAUAAAAUGCAGGGUAUUUGUAAUGUAGGUUCAAACCGUCAAGUUCUUCUUCCUAGCCGACUGCAACGUGGAAGGCAUGCUUUACAUCACUUUCCUUGUCUGUAACCCUGGAGAAGCACCCCAGGGCAAUAGCCUUGUUCAGGCUCACGGUCUGAGGGAAUACAACCCACAGUGCUGGAGAAGGCUUGAUUGGCAUGGCUCCAUGGCUGCAGGACUUCGGGGCGGCCCACUCGUGGUCCAAGAAGCAGAGGCAGGACAGAAGUGGAGCCUAGCUAUGCCUCUCCAGGCCCCUCUCUAGAGAGCUACUUCCUCCAGGUGGGCCUCGCCUACGGAGACUCUGCAACCUCCCCAAACAGUACCACCAGCCGAGGACCAAGUUCAAACACACGAGUGUACUGGGGACAUUUCUCAUCCAAGCCAUAAUACCAAGCAAACCCCAUACACCGUGAAGGAACACCCGCCCUGACAGGCAAGUCUUUGGCAUUUUUAGGGUCUUGAAAUACAUUCCAGGGUCCAGAGAGCUGGCUCAGCAGUUAAGAACAGUGGCCGCUCUAGCAGAGGAUCUGGGUUCAGUUCCCAGAACCCACAGGGCAGCUCACAACGUCUGCAGCUCCAGUUCUAGGGGAUCCAAUGGCCUCUUCCAGCCUCUGUAGGCAGUGCAUGCAUGUGGGGCCCAUACAUACAUACAGGCACACACUCAUACACAUAAAUAUGGUUGUAAUUUCAACCAUCCAAUCACCAGUGACCUCUAAUCCCAGUGGCUGGGCGGUAGUGGGCGAGGCAGUCUACGGCAGGGGCUGGUCAUUAACGCCCGGGUCCCGUGGCUGGUCUCUGAAUCUACAAAAUUGGCACAGAAAAACCAGUUCAGUUUGUGGGUGAGGUACGCUCGGUCAGCCCAGGUGCCUCUUGAGGAUGGGAGUUGGGCCAGCUGGGGAAGAGGUGAAGGGAUGUUAUUCCUCGGCUGCCUCAGUUUCCUCUACUGCCCACGUUUGCAAAUAGUGGAUCGUGUGGACCCCGCCUGCCCCUCCUCAUCCCCAAGCCGCUAAUAAAGUGGUUUGACUGCCUCCCAAAAUAAUAAUAAAUAAAACAUUUUUU